AAGACCUGGCGCUUCAUGAUGAGCCCGCGGCCUAUCAUCGGUAGUUGGCGGGGUAACGGCCCACCAAGCCUGAGACGGGUAGCUGGUCUGAGAGGACGACCAGCCACACUGGAACUGAGACACGGCCCAGACUCCUACGGGAGGCAGCAGUGGGGAAUCUUGCGCAAUGCGCGAAAGCGUGACGCAGCAACGCCGCGUGGGGGAAGAAGGCUUUCGGGUUGUAAACCCCUUUCAGUGGGAACGAAAUUGACGGUACCCACAGAAGAAGCCCCGGCCAACUACGUGCCAGCAGCCGCGGUGAUACGUAGGGGGCGAGCGUUGUCCGGAUUUAUUGGGCGUAAAGAGCUCGUAGGCGGCUUGGUGAGUCGGGUGUGAAACCUCCAGGCUCAACCUGGAGACGCCACUCGAUACUGCCCUGGCUAGAGUCCGGUAGGGGAUCAUGGAAUUCCUGGUGUAGCGGUGAAAUGCGCAGAUAUCAGGAGGAACACCAGUGGCGAAGGCGGUGAUCUGGGCCGGAACUGACAUUCAGUGCGAAAGCGUGGGGAGCAAACAGGAUUAGAUACCCUGGUAGUCCACGCCAUAAACGAUGAGAACUAGAU
rnacentral:rRNA from 1 species